GCCCUGCCCCCCGCCCACCUGACUCUGCCGCGCCUCAGCUCCGGGCAGCCCGCCUCCCACCUGACCCCCCCCGCGCUGACACCGCCUCCUUCCGGUCACCUGACCAGGUCUCAGUCCAUCUCACUUGAUUUCCUUGCUGCGUCUCAGAGGACUUUCUUUCAUUGCACCUAUGUCCGAGAGAGGAGAUUUAAGGAAGAGGGGAUGGGCAGAGAGGGUAAAGAAGAUAAAGACAGGAAAGGAAAGAAAUGUUAUGAUUUCGAGGAGGGAAGAUUACAAGGAAUCUCCAUACACCUCUAGCAACAUCUGAUCCAGUCAUCUGUAAACCUGUUUCCUAAGGGGUUUCUGCUCUCAAAGAUAAACUUUUGAAUUCUC